GGGAAGUUAGUACCGAAGUCCGGGAUGGAAGAUGGCGAGAAAAGCUGUGUGUAUUUCUGCGGUGCCCGUACCGCAAACCGACACAGGUAGGUAGGAAGAAGAUUCUAAGGCCAACGGGAGAAGGGUUGUUAAGGAACUCGGCAAAUUGACCCCGUAACUUCGGGAGAAGGGGUGCUCUAGAGAUAGAGCCGCAGAGAAUCGGCCCAAGCAACUGUUUACCAAAAACACAGGUUUGUGCUAAAUCGAAAGAUGACGUAUACGAGCUGACGCCUGCCCGGUGCUGGAAGGUUAAGAGGAGAUGUGCAAGCAUUGAAUCGAAGCCCCAGUGAACGGCGGCCGUAACUAUAACGGUCCUAAGGUAGCGAAAUUCCUUGUCAGGUAAGUUCUGACCCGCAUGAAAGGCGUAAUGAUUUGGGCACUGUCUCGACAGCCCGCCCGGCGAGAUUGUAGUACCGGUGAAGAUGCCGGUUACCCGCGACAAGACGGAAAGACCCCAUGGAGCUUUACUGUAGCCUAAUAUUGGGUUUCGAUGUUGCAUGCACAGGAUAGAUGGGACACUGGGAAGCAAGUGCUUUGGCAUUUGUGGAGUGGCCGUUGGGAUACCAUCCUUGCGAUAUUGGAAUUCUAACCUGCGCCUUUGAAUCAAGGCGGGGGACAUUGUUAGGUGGGCAGUUUGACUGGGGCGGUCGCCUCCUAAAGAGUAACGGAGGCGUUCAAAGGUUCGCUCAGCUUGAACGGAAAUCAAGCAAAAGAGUGCAAACGCAGAAGCGAGCCUAACUGCGAGACUGACGGGUCGAGCAGUAACGAAAGUUGGAGUUAGUGAUCCGGUGGUAUGUGAGUGGAAAUGCCAUCGCUCAACGGAUAAAAGUUACCCUGGGGAUAACAGGCUGAUCUCCCCCAAGAGUCCACAUCGACGGGGAGGUUUGGCACCUCGAUGUCGGCUCAUCGCAUCCUGGGGCUGUAUUCGGUCCCAAGGGUUUGGCUGUUCGCCAAUUAAAGCGGUACGCGAGCUGGGUUCAGAACGUCGUGAGACAGUUCGGUCCCUAUCUGUCGUGGGCGCAGGAUAUUUGAUGGGAGCUGUUCCUAGUACGAGAGGACCGGAGCGGACGUACCUCUGGCGCACCAGUUGUUCUGCCAAGGGCAUAGCUGGGCAACUAUGUACGGAUCGGAUAAACGCUGAAAGCAUCUAAGCGUGAAGCCGACCCAAAGAUAAGAUAUCCCAUUGUUUCAAACAAGUAAGACCCCUUGAAGACUACAAGGUUGAUAGGCAUGAUGUGUAAGUGGAGUGAUCCAUUCAGCAAGCAUGUACUAAUAGGUCGAGGGCUUGACCAA
rnacentral:rRNA from 1 species